ACGCACGCUGGCGGCGUGCUUAACACAUGCAAGUCGAACGGAAAGGCCCUGCUUUUGUAGGGUGCUCGAGUGGCGAACGGGUGAGUAACACGUGAGUAACCUGCCCUUGACUUUGGGAUAACUUCAGGAAACUGGGGCUAAUACCGGAUAGGAGCUCCUGCUGCAUGGUGGGGGUUGGAAAGUUUCGGCGGUUGGGGAUGGACUCGCGGCUUAUCAGCUUGUUGGUGGGGUAGUGGCUUACCAAGGCUUUGACGGGUAGCCGGCCUGAGAGGGUGACCGGCCACAUUGGGACUGAGAUACGGCCCAGACUCCUACGGGAGGCAGCAGUGGGGAAUAUUGCACAAUGGGCGGAAGCCUGAUGCAGCAACGCCGCGUGCGGGAUGACGGCCUUCGGGUUGUAAACCGCUUUCGCCUGUGACGAAGCGUGAGUGACGGUAAUGGGUAAAGAAGCACCGGCUAACUACGUG
rnacentral:rRNA from 1 species